rnacentral:rRNA from 1 species
AACGAACGCUGGCGGCAUGCCUAACACAUGCAAGUCGAACGAGACCUUCGGGUCUAGUGGCGCACGGGUGCGUAACGCGUGGGAACCUGCCCUUAGGUUCGGAAUAACUCCCCGAAAGGGGUGCUAAUACCGGAUAAUGUCUUCGGACCAAAGAUUUAUCGCCUUUGGAUCGGCCCGCGUUGGAUUAGCUAGUUGGUAGGUUAAAAGCCUACCAAGGCGACGAUCCAUAGCUGGUCUGAGAGGAUGAUCAGCCACACUGGGACUGAGACACGGCCCAGACUCCUACGGGAGGCAGCAGUGGGGAAUAUUGGACAAUGGGCGAAAGCCUGAUCCAGCAAUGCCGCGUGAGUGAUGAAGGCCUUAGGGUUGUAAAGCUCUUUUACCCGGGAUGAUAAUGACAGUACCGGGAGAAUAAGCUCCGGCUAACUCCGUG